rnacentral:sRNA from 1 species
UGUAUAUUGACAACUACCGCUUAAUCGUA